rnacentral:rRNA from 1 species
AGAGUUUGAUCCUGGCUCAGGAUAAACGCUGGCGGCGUGCCUAACACAUGCAAGUCGAACGCCCUACGCAAGUAGGGAGUGGCGGACGGGUGAGGAACACGUGGGUUAUCUACCUUUCGGUGAGGAAUACCGGCGAGAAAUCGCCGACAAUACCGCAUAUGCUCGUAAGAGCAAAGCUCGCAAGGGCGCCGGAAGAUGAG